rnacentral:rRNA from 1 species
UGCCCANUGAUAAUUUAUUGAAGGGCUGCAGUAAUUUGACUGUACAAAGGUAGCAUAAUCAUUAGUCAUUUAAUUGAUGACUUGUAUGAAAGAUUGGAUGAGAUAUAAACUGUCUUUAUAAUAUUUUGUAGAAAUUAAUUUUUUAAUUAAAAAGUUAAAAUAAAUAAAAAAGACGAGAAGACCCUAUAGAGUUUUAUUGUUUAAUUAGUUUUAAUUAUUUAUAAAAAUAAAGUUAAAAUUAAUUAGAGAAUUUUGUUGGGGUGAUGAAAAAAUUUAAUAAACUUUUUUAAAAAAAUUAAACAUAGAUAAGUGACUAAUUGAUCCAUUUUUAGUGAUUAUAAGAAAUAAUUACCUUAGGGAUAACAGCGUAAUUUUUUUUUUUAGUUCAAAUAAGAAAAAGAGUUUGCGACCUCGAUGUUGGAUUAAGAUAAAAUUUGAAUGUAGAAGUUUAAAGUUUUGA